UUCCCCUUCGGGGGACAAAGUGACAGGUGGUGCAUGGUUGUCGUCAGCUCGUGUCGUGAGAUGUUGGGUUAAGUCCCGCAACGAGCGCAACCCUUAAGUUUAGUUGCCAUCAUUAAGUUGGGCACUCUAAGUUGACUGCCGGUGACAAACCGGAGGAAGGUGGGGAUGACGUCAAAUCAUCAUGCCCCUUAUGAUUUGGGCUACACACGUGCUACAAUGGACAAUACAAAGGGCAGCGAAACCGUGAGGUCAAGCAAAUCCCAUAAAGUUGUUCUCAGUUCGGAUUGUAGUCUGCAACUCGACUACAUGAAGCUGGAAUCGCUAGUAAUCGUAGAUCAGCAUGCUACGGUGAAUACGUUCCCGGGUCUUGUACACACCGCCCGUCACACCACGAGAGUUUGUAACACCCGAAGCCGGUGGAGUAACCUUUUAGGAGCUAGCCGUCGAAGGUGGGACAAAUGAUUGGGGUGAAGUCGUAACAAGGUAGCCGUAUCGGAAGGUGCGGCUGGAUCACCUCCUUU
rnacentral:rRNA from 1 species